GCAUAUCAAUAAGCGGAGGAAAAGAAACCAACAGGGAUUACCUCAGUAACGGCGAGUGAAGCGGUAACAGCUCAAAUUUGAAAGCUAGCUCUUUGAGGGUUCGCAUUGUAAUUUGUAGAAGAUGCUUCGGGUGUGGCCCCGGUCUAAGUUCCUUGGAACAGGACGUCAUAGAGGGUGAGAAUCCCGUAUGUGACUGGGUGCUUUCGCUCAUGUGAAGCUCUUUCGACGAGUCGAGUUGUUUGGGAAUGCAGCUCUAAAUGGGUGGUACAUUUCAUCUAAAGCUAAAUAUUGGCCAGAGACCGAUAGCGCACAAGUAGAGUGAUCGAAAGAUGAAAAGCACUUUGGAAAGAGAGUUAAACAGUACGUGAAAUUGUUGAAAGGGAAGCGCUUGCAACCAGACUUGCGCGCUGAUGAUCAUCCGGGCUUCUGCCCGGUGCACUCGUCUGCGCUCAGGCCAGCAUCGGUUUCGGUGGUGGGAUAAAGGCCUUGGGAAUGUAGCUCCUCUCGGGGAGUGUUAUAGCCCUCGGUGCAAUGCCGCCUACCGGGACCGAGGACCGCGCUUCGGCUAGGAUGCUGGCGUAAUGGUUGUAAGCGACCCGUCUUGAAACACGGACCAAGGAGUCUAACAUCUAUGCGAGUGUUUGGGUGUCAAACCCAUACGCGUAAUGAAAGUGAACGGAGGUGAGAACCCUUAAGGGUGCAUCAUCGACCGGUCCUGAUGUCUUCGGAUGGAUCUGAGUAAGAGCAUAGCUGUUGGGACCCGAAAGAUGGUGAACUAUGCGUGAAUAGGGUGAAGCCAGAGGAAACUCUGGUGGAGGCUCGCAGCGGUUCUGACGUGCAAAUCGAUCGUCAAAUUUGCGUAUAGGGGGCGAAAGACUAAUCGAACCAUCUAGUAGCUGGGUUCCUGCCGAAG
rnacentral:rRNA from 1 species